rnacentral:rRNA from 1 species
GGGGAAUAUUGCACAAUGGGGGAAACCCUGAUGCAGCGAUGCCGCGUGGAGGAAGAAGGUUUUCGGAUUGUAAACUCCUGUUGAAGAGGACGAUAAUGACGGUACUCUUUUAGAAAGCUCCGGCUAACUACGUGCCAGCAGCCGCGGUAAUACGGAGGGUGCAAGCGUUGUCCGGAAUCAUUGGGCGUAAAGAGUUCGUAGGUGGUUUGUUAAGUUUGGUGUUAAAUGCAGAGGCUCAACUUCUGUUCGGCAUCGGAUACUGGCAGACUAGAAUGCGGUAGAGGUAAAGGGAAUUCCCGGUGUAGCGGUGGAAUGCGUAGAUAUCGGGAGGAACACCAGUGGCGAAGGCGGCCUACUGGGCACCAACUGACGCUGAGGCUCGAAAGUGUGGGUAGCAAACAGGAUUAGAUACCCUGGUAGUCCACACCGUAAACGAUGAUUACUAGGUGUUGGAGGAUUGACCCCUUCAGUGCCGCAGUUAACACAAUAAGUAAUCCACCUGGGGAGUACGACCGCAAGGUUGAAACUCAAAGGAAUUGACGGGGGCCCGCACAAGCAGUGGAGUAUGUGGUUUAAUUCGACGCAACGCGAAGAACCUUACCAAGUCUUGACAUCCCUUGACGAUGCUGGAAACAGCAUUUCUCUUCGGAGCAAGGAGACAGGUGGUGCAUGGUUGUCGUCAGCCCGUGUCGUGAGAUGUUGGGUUAAGUCCCGCAACGAGCGCAACCCCUAUCCUCAGUAGCCAGCAUUUAAGGUGGGCACUCUGGGGAGACUGCCAGGGAUAACCUGGAGGAAGGCGGGGAUGACGUCAAAUCAUCAUGCCCCUUAUGAUUUGGGCUACACACGUGCUACAAUGGCGUAAACAAAGGGAAGCGAGCCUGCGAGGGUAAGCAAAACUCAGAAACAACGUCCCAGUUCGGACUGCAGGCUGCAACUCGCCUGCACGAAGUCGGAAUUGCUAGUAAUCGUGGAUCAGCAUGCCACGGUGAAUACGUUCCCG